rnacentral:rRNA from 1 species
GAUGAACGCUGGCGGCGUGCCUAAUACAUGCAAGUCGAACGAAAGGACGAGAAGCUUGCGUCUCUGCUGUUAGCGGCGGACGGGUGAGUAACACGUGGAUAACCUACCUAUAAGACGGGGAUAACUACGGGAAACCGGAGCUAAUACCAGAUAAUAUUUUGAACCGCAUGGUUCAAAAGUAAAAGACGGUCUUGCUGUCACUUAUAGAUGGAUCCGCGCUGCAUUAGCUAGUUGGUAAGGUAACGGCUUACCAAGGCAACGAUGCAUAGCCGACCUGAGAGGGUGAUCGGCCACACUGGAACUGAGACACGGUCCAGGCUCCUACGGGAGGCAGCAGUAGGGAAUCUUCCGCAAUGGGCGAAAGCCUGACGGAGCAACGCCGCGUGAGUGAUGAAGGUCUUCGGAUCGUAAAACUCUGUUAUUAGGGAAGAACAUAUGUGUAAGUAACUGUGCACAUCUUGACGGUACCUAAUCAGAAAGCCCCGGCUAACUACGUG